GGUUAAGCGACUAAGCGUACACGGUGGAUGCCCUGGCAGUCAGAGGCGAUGAAGGACGUGCUAAUCUGCGAUAAGCGUCGGUAAGGUGAUAUGAACCGUUAUAACCGGCGAUUUCCGAAUGGGGAAACCCAGUGUGUUUCGACACACUAUCAUUAACUGAAUCCAUAGGUUAAUGAGGCGAACCGGGGGAACUGAAACAUCUAAGUACCCCGAGGAAAAGAAAUCAACCGAGAUUCCCCCAGUAGCGGCGAGCGAACGGGGAGCAGCCCAGAGCCUUAAUCAGUGUGUGUGUUAGUGGAAGCGUCUGGAAAGGCGCGCGAUACAGGGUGACAGCCCCGUACACAAAAAUGCACAUGCUGUGAGCUCGAUGAGUAGGGCGGGACACGUGGUAUCCUGUCUGAAUAUGGGGGGACCAUCCUCCAAGGCUAAAUACUCCUGACUGACCGAUAGUGAACCAGUACCGUGAGGGAAAGGCGAAAAGAACCCCGGCGAGGGGAGUGAAAAAGAACCUGAAACCGUGUACGUACAAGCAGUGGGAGCACGCUUAGGCGUGUGACUGCGUACCUUUUGUAUAAUGGGUCAGCGACUUAUAUUCUGUAGCAAGGUUAACCGAAUAGGGGAGCCGAAGGGAAACCGAGUCUUAACUGGGCGUUAAGUUGCAGGGUAUAGACCCGAAACCCGGUGAUCUAGCCAUGGGCAGGUUGAAGGUUGGGUAACACUAACUGGAGGACCGAACCGACUAAUGUUGAAAAAUUAGCGGAUGACUUGUGGCUGGGGGUGAAAGGCCAAUCAAACCGGGAGAUAGCUGGUUCUCCCCGAAAGCUAUUUAGGUAGCGCCUCGUGAAUUCAUCUCCGGGGGUAGAGCACUGUUUCGGCAAGGGGGUCAUCCCGACUUACCAACCCGAUGCAAACUGCGAAUACCGGAGAAUGUUAUCACGGGAGACACACGGCGGGUGCUAACGUCCGUCGUGAAGAGGGAAACAACCCAGACCGCCAGCUAAGGUCCCAAAGUCAUGGUUAAGUGGGAAACGAUGUGGGAAGGCCCAGACAGCCAGGAUGUUGGCUUAGAAGCAGCCAUCAUUUAAAGAAAGCGUAAUAGCUCACUGGUCGAGUCGGCCUGCGCGGAAGAUGUAACGGGGCUAAACCAUGCACCGAAGCUGCGGCAGCGACACUAUGUGUUGUUGGGUAGGGGAGCGUUCUGUAAGCCUGUGAAGGUGUGCUGUGAGGCAUGCUGGAGGUAUCAGAAGUGCGAAUGCUGACAUAAGUAACGAUAAAGCGGGUGAAAAGCCCGCUCGCCGGAAGACCAAGGGUUCCUGUCCAACGUUAAUCGGGGCAGGGUGAGUCGACCCCUAAGGCGAGGCCGAAAGGCGUAGUCGAUGGGAAACAGGUUAAUAUUCCUGUACUUGGUGUUACUGCGAAGGGGGGACGGAGAAGGCUAUGUUGGCCGGGCGACGGUUGUCCCGGUUUAAGCGUGUAGGCUGGUUUUCCAGGCAAAUCCGGAAAAUCAAGGCUGAGGCGUGAUGACGAGGCACUACGGUGCUGAAGCAACAAAUGCCCUGCUUCCAGGAAAAGCCUCUAAGCAUCAGGUAACAUCAAAUCGUACCCCAAACCGACACAGGUGGUCAGGUAGAGAAUACCAAGGCGCUUGAGAGAACUCGGGUGAAGGAACUAGGCAAAAUGGUGCCGUAACUUCGGGAGAAGGCACGCUGAUAUGUAGGUGAAGUCCCUCGCGGAUGGAGCUGAAAUCAGUCGAAGAUACCAGCUGGCUGCAACUGUUUAUUAAAAACACAGCACUGUGCAAACACGAAAGUGGACGUAUACGGUGUGACGCCUGCCCGGUGCCGGAAGGUUAAUUGAUGGGGUUAGCCGCAAGGCGAAGCUCUUGAUCGAAGCCCCGGUAAACGGCGGCCGUAACUAUAACGGUCCUAAGGUAGCGAAAUUCCUUGUCGGGUAAGUUCCGACCUGCACGAAUGGCGUAAUGAUGGCCAGGCUGUCUCCACCCGAGACUCAGUGAAAUUGAACUCGCUGUGAAGAUGCAGUGUACCCGCGGCAAGACGGAAAGACCCCGUGAACCUUUACUAUAGCUUGACACUGAACAUUGAGCCUUGAUGUGUAGGAUAGGUGGGAGGCUUAGAAGUGUGGACGCCAGUCUGCAUGGAGCCGACCUUGAAAUACCACCCUUUAAUGUUUGAUGUUCUAACGUUGACCCGUAAUCCGGGUUGCGGACAGUGUCUGGUGGGUAGUUUGACUGGGGCGGUCUCCUCCUAAAGAGUAACGGAGGAGCACGAAGGUUGGCUAAUCCUGGUCGGACAUCAGGAGGUUAGUGCAAUGGCAUAAGCCAGCUUGACUGCGAGCGUGACGGCGCGAGCAGGUGCGAAAGCAGGUCAUAGUGAUCCGGUGGUUCUGAAUGGAAGGGCCAUCGCUCAACGGAUAAAAGGUACUCCGGGGAUAACAGGCUGAUACCGCCCAAGAGUUCAUAUCGACGGCGGUGUUUGGCACCUCGAUGUCGGCUCAUCACAUCCUGGGGCUGAAGUAGGUCCCAAGGGUAUGGCUGUUCGCCAUUUAAAGUGGUACGCGAGCUGGGUUUAGAACGUCGUGAGACAGUUCGGUCCCUAUCUGCCGUGGGCGCUGGAGAACUGAGGAGGGCUGCUCCUAGUACGAGAGGACCGGAGUGGACGCAUCACUGGUGUUCGGGUUGUCAUGCCAAUGGCACUGCCCGGUAGCUAAAUGCGGAAGAGAUAAGUGCUGAAAGCAUCUAAGCACGAAACUUGCCCCGAGAUGAGUUCUCCCUGACUCCUUGAGAGUCCUGAAGGAACGUUGAAGACGACGACGUUGAUAGGCCGGGUGUGUAAGCGCAGCGAUGCGUUGAGCUAACCGGUACUAAUGAACCGUGAGGCUUAACCUU
rnacentral:rRNA from 1 species